GCCGGGCGUGGUGGCGCAUGCCUGUAAUCCCAGCUACUCAGGAGGCUGAGGCAGGAGAAUCACUUGAACCCAGGAGGCGAAGAUUGCAGUGAGCUGAGAUCGUGCCACUGCACUCUAGCCUGGGUGACAGAGCGAGACUCUGACUCAA
rnacentral:SRP_RNA from 1 species